GACAUUCUUAGCUGAAAUUGGUUAUGAGGUGCAGACCCCUCAUGUAUAAAAUUAGACGGAAAGACCCCGAGAUCUUCACAUUUAGGUGUUUGUUUGGGGUAAAAGCAUAUUAUUUAUAUGUUUUUAGAGCCUUAGGGGCUAUAGGUGAAAGUUACCUCGGGGAUAACUGGGUAAGAAACGAUUAGAGAUCCUAUCGAUUCGUUUAGUUGCUACCUCGAUGUUGACUUGGGGACGGGUAAAGGCGCAGCAGUUUUUAUCAAAGGGUCUGUUCGACCCGUAGAUCCUCCCAUGAGCU
rnacentral:rRNA from 1 species